GCCUGGGUGGCUCAGUGGGUUGAGCGUCGGACUUGAGCUCAGGUCAUGAUCUCGUGGUUCGUGGGUUCGAGCCCCACAUCGGCCU
rfam:Felis catus isolate Cinnamon breed Abyssinian chromosome B1, whole genome shotgun sequence.